UUAAAUUGCCACCCUCAAGCACUGGUGGUGGAUGGACUGACAGCUUAUUUGUGAAUCAGGGAAUGUUUUGAAGCACCUUGGUAAGUAAUAUUAGCAAGUAUUUGCUAAGACUGGUGACAGUCACUGCAUUAGCAAAGUUCAUUUUAAAACUAGAAAUUCAAUAUACUAUUUGACCUGAGUCAAUCAGUGUAAGCGAUUUAAUAAAUAACCCGCUGGAGGAGAUAGUAAUUUAAAAGAAACUUGUUCUCAGGGGUAGAAAGAAGGGCUACAAGACUUCUUUCUAUCCAUGUUUUUCAGUCUCUGUAUUAACCUUCAGCAAAUGUUUCUCCACACUGCAGCUUACCCGUCUUCACUCGGGCUGUACUGACGUGCUGCUGCCCAACAAAGGUGUCGAAAUGAAAAUUAGUGGCUGCAAAAGUCUCACUGAUCUUCAGAUAAGAGUAUAUUUAAUCCAAAUGCAGCCAAGGAUUCAGCAGAACUGAAGAAUAAAACAAGAUUUUUAGGGAGCAUCUCCCUCACAAUGAAAGCUCUUCCAUGGGCAAGAAAUGUUUAAGCUUUGUGAGCCAGCCUCUGCCCCUCCAAUAAAUAUGGAUAAGAGCUCA